AAUGAACGUUGGCGGCGUGGAUUAGGCAUGCAAGUCGAGCGCGAACCAGUCUUCGGACUGGGGAGAGCGGCGAACGGGGUAGGAAUACCUCGGUGACGUACCCCCGGGUCGGGGAUAGCGGCGGGAAACUGCCGGUAAUACCCGAUAAUCUGCCCAGGUUUUACGACAGGGGCAGCAAAGGUGUGAUUCCGUCUGGGGAGCGGCUGAGGUCGUAUUAGCUGGUUGGUAGGGUAACGGCCUACCAAGGCGAUGAUGCGUCGGGGGUGUGAGAGCAUGGCCCCCCACACUGGCACUGAGACACUGGCCAGACACCUACGGGAGGCUG
rnacentral:rRNA from 1 species